AUUUGGGGGGUUUUUUG
rnacentral:sRNA from 1 species